rnacentral:lncRNA from 1 species
GCAGUGGAUCUCUGUUCAGAGAGGGAGGAGGAGAGAGAAGGAGGGAGGGAAGAAAGGAGAGAGGGAGAGAGCCAGAAAACAGAGCAAGAUAAAGGAAGAGAAUGCACCUGAAAUAGACACAAGGAUAAAUGGAUCAAGGAGAGAGGAGAAACAGAUAAUCACAACAGCGAAUAUUUGUUAAAUGCAUGCUCUUUGCCAGACUCUCCAAGAUAUGCAGAGCUUUGGGCCAGGAUCCUACAGCCACGGGUCAUGCAGAGCCAGUUGGCCACAUCCUUUGGGCCAAAUUUGGUCCUAACCAGGUCUUACCACGGUAACUGCUAACCAGUCCAUCUUCAGUUAAUAUUUCAUGCGUAAGAUGUUUCAUGAAGUAACUGAAUGGGCUAAUGGGUUGUUCACUGGAUAAGACUCCCAGAUACUCCCUUUCAUGCCAUUCCCCAGAAUUCCUUCACCUCCCAGUGCUGUCUGUAAGGGUGAAGAUACUCCAUUUUGCCCCAUGCUCUUUGCUGUGCCCCAGAUAGGCUCAAACAUUUUUCCCUUUUGGGGAUUUUGCAGGUAGGAAUUGUUGAACAUCUUACCAUUUAAUCCAGAAGUUAUGUCCUUUAAGGAAUCGACCCUGAGCCUGUGAGUUUUACUUUGGGUUGGGGGUGAAGGAGUGGACCUUGCAGCAUUCAAGGUCAUCCAAGAUCAUCCAGUUAAGGCCCCUAAGGUCACUACGGGGGGAAAAGCCUGGUGAGGGAAGAGAAAGCAUUAGGGGGAGCUGCACCGUGCUGAGAAAUAACACCACACAGAAGUCUGUGUUCUAAUCUCAGCUCUGCUUUGCAUUACUGUGUGACCUGGAGCUGAUCACAGCCCUCUGAGUCUUAAAGGGGUUGGACAAGGCCAACUAAACAUUAGAAACACCUGAAAGUGCUGGUUAAAAGGAAGAAUGCAUGAGCUUCACUCCAGAUUUACUAUAUCAGAAUUUCCAGGGUCAGGGUCCAAGAAUCUGCAUGUUUAAUACGCUUUCCACAUGAUUUUUCCCCCCUCUGGACUUAAGAAAACAAUGGGCAAGUCAGCUCAUGAAGAACUUUUCAGAUAUUCAGACUAUUAUUCUGAGAGAGAAAAUAUUGGCAGAGAACAGAUGGGAUUUUUCUCAAGGAAAAGAAAUGGAAAUCCUACAUCUUGCAAGAAAUAGAAAAAAAUAAAUAAACUGUUUGAAGAAGAAUCACAUCAGGCUGGCAGGAGAGAGCCUGCGGCUCGGUGUCUGACCCAGAAUGUUAAAGCCAGCCUGGCUUGGCUCCAGGAUAAAGGACACUCUGUCAGCCUCUCCACAUUGAUUCAUCUCCCCAGCCCCAAGAUCAGGAGAGCAUUCUGUUCCUUGAAGCAUUUUAUGACUGUAAGUCAGAAGUGCUGCAGUUUUAAUAAAAAGCUGUAUUGUCCUGAUCUUGUGCAAUAUACUGAACUAUCAUUUUCCAACUGUUGGCUUGCAUACUGGUUUGUGUGAGUAAGCCCGUCCAUCCACAUCACUAAAAGAUAGUAGUAGUAACAACAAUGAC